CCUACGGGAGGCAGCAGUGAGGAAUAUUGGUCAAUGGGCGCGAGCCUGAACCAGCCAAGUAGCGUGAAGGAUGACUGCCCUACGGGUUGUAAACUUCUUUUAUAAAGGAAUAAAACGAGGCACGUGUGCCUUUGUGCAUGUACUUUAUGAAUAAGGAUCGGCUAACUCCGUGCCAGCAGCCGCGGUAAUACGGAGGAUCCGAGCGUUAUCCGGAUUUAGUGGGGUUAAAGGGAGCGUAGAUGGGUUGUUAAGUCAGUUGUGAAAGUUUGCGGCUCAACCGUAAAAUUGCAAUUGAUACUGGCAGUCUUGAGUACAGUUGCGGUAGGCGGUAUUCGUGGUGUAGCGGUGAAAUGCUUCGCUAUCACG
rnacentral:rRNA from 1 species